rnacentral:precursor_RNA from 9 species
GCGUUUUCAUUUUAUGAGGGGUGUGGGAGGCGGUUAUGGUAUUGCGCUGGUAUGUUGAUUCUGUGUUCAUACCCGUAAUUGCCAUGACUGUUUCCCGCUCCUCAACUGUGCCGCUUGCGUUG